GACGAACGCUGGCGGCGUGCUUAACACAUGCAAGUCGAACGGAAAGGCCCUGCUUUUGUGGGGUGCUCGAGUGGCGAACGGGUGAGUAACACGUGAGUAACCUGCCCUUGACUUUGGGAUAACUUCAGGAAACUGGGGCUAAUACCGGAUAGGAGCUCCUGCUGCAUGGUGGGGGUUGGAACGUUUCGGCGGUUGGGGAUGGACUCGCGGCUUAUCAGCUUGUUGGUGGGGUAGUGGCUUACCAAGGCUUUGACGGGUAGCCGGCCUGAGAGGGUGACCGGCCACAUUGGGACUGAGAUACGGCCCAGACUCCUACGGGAGGCAGUAGUGGGGAAUAUUGCACAAUGGGCGGAAGCCUGAUGCAGCAACGCCGCGUGCGGGAUGACGGCCUUCGGGUUGUAAACCGCUUUCGCCUGUGACGAAGCGUGAGUGACGGUAAUGGGUAAAGAAGCACCGGCUAACUACGUG
rnacentral:rRNA from 1 species